UACGGAGGGUGCAAGCGUUAUCCGGAUUCACUGGGUUUAAAGGGUGCGUAGGUGGGUUGGUAAGUCAGUGGUGAAAUCUCCAGGCUUAACUUGGAAACUGCCAUUGAUACUAUCAAUCUUGAAUACCGUGGAGGUCAGCGGAAUAUGUCAUGUAGCGGUGAAAUGCUUAGAUAUGACAUAGAACACCAAUGGCGAAGGCAGCUGGCUACGCGGAUAUUGACACUGAUGCACGAAAGCGUGGGGAUCAAACAGG
rnacentral:rRNA from 1 species